GGGCCUGGAGGAACCCCACCCACCUGGAUCCUUUGCCAAAUGGGCAGCUUCCCGCAUCCUGAUCCCAAUGACCCUGUGGCUGCUGUCCCUUCGAGGGGAGCUGGUGGCUUCUCUGCAAGAUGCCAGCCUGAUGGGACUGCAUGUGGACAUCAACACCGUCACUAUCACCAUCCCAAAUCCAAGGUUCGGGAAGGGAGUUGCCUGCCUCAGUGGCUAUGCCGAGGACCAUUCCAUCCCACCAUCCCCAGGACCAGAGACCCCUCCAGCAGGAUGCCAUCUGCUGCCUCUUCCCAGUUCCAGGCUGCAGGAUCAGCUGCCUCGGGAGCCUCCGGGAAGGGCUUUCUCAGAGCUGCGCUCACCAGCCUUUCGAUGGGCUGGCCAAUGCAAGUCCGCCUGUGGUUUCCUCUGAAGGGCCCAUCCCAAGAGGCCUUGGAGGACGCUCUCUCUUACCCCCAUUCUUCCAGAGGGAGCCCCGCUCUGACCUCUGGCCAUGUCUCCUCCUCCUCCAAUUCAGAACACUCCCCAGAGAAAGCUGGGGCCCCCCAGAGCUCCUAUCUGAGGGCAGCCCCCCUGCCAGCUGUCCUGCAUGGCUCACAGCCUCCCAGAGCCUUGAGACUCAGCAAAAGGAGGCAGCAGGGAGAGUCAGUGGCUAUGCACACAAACGGAGAGUAGGAAACUGAGGCAUGCCUCAAAGGACUUGUGGCUGGAGCCCGGGGGCCAGCCUGGAGAACCAGCUGGAGGUCACAGCUCCCACAGGCCCUUCUCUGGGCUGCCAUCCUCAGGGCAGCUGAAACCCGCAUCCUCCUAUUUCUGAUGCUUUUUCUCUCUCCACUCCUCUCUCCCUGAAGACGGAGUUUGGGCCAUUCCUGCAAACAGCCAAACCUCUGGAAGAAGCAGGGAAGCUACCAUCUCCCUUUUCCCAGAGCAAUGCAGGAUCAGCGUGGUCCCCAGGUUCCCCGGGGGGAAGCGGGGUUACCUAGACACCUCUCCUUCAGCUGCACUGUCCUCAGAGUCCUAGGAGUUGUCGAGGCUAGCCCUGGGUUCCCGCCAGUCAUCCCUGCCCCCAUGGUCCUCACUGUGCAUUUGUCCUCAGAUGUCUCAUCUCCUCCACCGCCUCUCUGGGGUCUGAACAGUCCACAGCACUCCUGGUCUCAGGGUCCUCUGUCACCCUAACUGACCGUUUAGGAACUAUAAGGCCCGAGCAGGACCCCGCCCAGCCACCAGGAAGUCCCCUCCAGCUGGGAGGGCUGUCAGUGGGCUGUGACUGCAACCGAGUCCACGCAGGGGGCCAGGCCAGGCCGGCAAGGAGGUCCUGCCUUUGACAAGGCCCUCGCUGACCACCCUGGCUGAAGAGGCAUUGGGUUCCCACUGUCCCCUAAAGAGCCCCAGGAAACACUCUUCACAAUGGGGGCUGCGGGGCCACCCCAGAGGGGUCCUGGCCUUCCUGGGAAGGGGGCCGCAGGGGCCCUGGACCCAUCAUCCUCAGAAACAACUCAGGACAUGGAGGGGCCGGGACUUGCUCUCCUGCUGGGGAAGCUUGUCAUAGUCACUACCCCAUGGCAAAUACCUCCAAGGGGUGGUGGCAGCAUCCAGACCCGUACCUGUCUGAGGGCCUUGGGACUCGAGCCCGUGGGGAGAAACAGAGUGGGACCAGCACCUCCUCUGCCAGCUCUUACUGCUGAGCAGCUGCUGGCAGAAGGCAGUUGCCUGACAGCCCUUCUGGAGAGCCCUCUGGCCUCCACCUCCAGGAAGCCUGCCGCCUGACCUGUGGGAGGGUCAGCUAGAGUCCGAGGCCCAGAGUCAGCCCCGAGCUGACCAUGGGAACAGGAUGAGCAGGGGACUGCCUAUGCAUCCAGCAAAUGCUGACCCCGUGGGCUCCCGUGGACAUUUCCUCGCCUGGCCUGGCCAGGGGACAUCCCCACAGGAGCAGCUGACAGAGUCCACGUUAGCCACCACCCCUGAAAGUCCCCGGCCUCCUGAGCUUCAGAAUGUCUGGAGGGGCUUCUGAGAGAACGCCUCGCCAGGGUGAGUCAUGGGAGUACCCCAGGGGACACCAGGCACAAAGGAGUGGGGAGGGUGGUGUCUUGGCAUCCUUCCCGUCAGCCUGGACCUCCCCUGAGUGCAGGAUAACACCCCUUGGCCUCUCCCUGCCAGCCCAGUGUCUGCGUGCUUGUCCUCUUGCUGUUAAAUGUGGUGAGGCAAUGGGGGGUGAGGGGGUGGGGGGCAGGGUGCAGGCUCUGCAGCCAGGCUGCUGUGGUCCAAGUCCCAUCCCACCACUCUUUAGCUGUGUGACCUUGGGCAAGGCACUAACCUCUCUGUGCCUCAGUUUCCUGAUCAGUCAAAUGGGAGGAUGAUAAUCGUUCCUGCCUGAUGGGCUGUGGAGGGGUAAGUGAGGAAAUGAAUAUAGAGCCUUUAGCACAGGGCCGGGCACACAGCAUAUGCUCAGAACCUGUGAGUUGUACUUGAGGUUAUUGCUGCUAUCGAGGCAAAUCAGAGCAGUCCAAUUCUUGGGCUCCCAGGAGAGCAUGGAAGGCACAGUUCAAACAUCUUGCGAGGGGGGUGGUAAGAUUGUAUGACGUGAGACGCCGCUACCCCAGGCCCCCGGGGGCCAUGACCCCAAGUCUCUAAAGGACCCCGUGGGAGGAGAAUGAGGAGUGUUACUGUUUUGCCGUCAUGACUCACCACUCCCUUCCUCUGGUUCCCAUGGCAGCAGCUGGUACCCCGCUGGCCUGGACUGCUCCAGUGACCCCUGUUGUCCCUGGGGGGACAUCAGCGCUCCUAGGCACCCUGGCCCAGAAGCCCAGCCAUGGUCUGAGCCAGAGCAGCACCUGGUGCUUCCCUGGAAGGAUGGCACCCCCGCCCCUCCAGGCCAGCCCAUCACUGGAAGUGGGAUUUGAAACACAGCCAAGGAGAGGAGGCCGUCAGCAACGCCCGGAACGCGAAACAAAUAAAUAAAUAAAUAAUCAGGGUUGUCUUGGCUGA
rnacentral:lncRNA from 1 species